UACGAGGGGGCGAGCGUUGUUCGGAAGUUAUUGGGCGUAAAGGGUGCGUAGGCGGUUUGGUAAGUCUGAUGUGAAAUCUAUGGGCUCAACUCAUAGUCUGCAUCGGAAACUGCCGGGCUUGAGUGUGGGAGAGGUGAGUGGAAUUCCUGGUGUAGCGGUGAAAUUCGUAGAUAGUUGGGAAGAACACCGGUGGCGAAGGCGGCGACCUGGUCCUUGACUGGACGCUGAGCGCGAAAGCGUGGGGAGCAAACAGG
rnacentral:rRNA from 1 species